AUCCAUGUUGCUGCAAAUGGCAUUAUUUCAUUCUUUUUUAUGGCUGAGUAAUGCUCCAUCGUGUAUAUAUACCACAUCUUCUUUCUUGAAAGCCUUAUACAGCAUCAGAAAGACACUGAAUAAUAUAAGCGCCAUUCUGACACGGAGGAGUGCAAUCUUAUCUCACUGUAAAGAAUGGUGGAUUUUAAGAGGAGGGUCAUAAAAUAACCAUGCUUAAAGAAAUAACUUCAACGGCACGUUCUUCCUUUUCCACCCAGACCCUUGGGGCUGGUCUUCAACACAUAUUGAAGAAAUUGUUAUUUCUUCCAGACAGCUGAGUGGGUGGAGAAAGAAAAGUGAUACGGAGAGCCUUUCUCAUCUUCGGCAUCUUCCUCCAUCCCUAGGAUUCUCAUCUGACGCUUUGUGACAUAUGUAGUGGUGUCAGCAUCUCUUCAAAGAUGGCGCCCUUCACGUUGGAGCCCCUCAGGUUAACGGGGCCUGCUACUACGCUGCUAAGACCUAUCAAGAGAACAAGGCGAAAACAUUUAAAAAACUCAACAGCAAGCUAAACGUUGACGCGCUAGUCUCUACAAUCCAAUCUAUGCCAGGUUUUCUUGUAUAGGGCUGUACUGUUCAAUACGAUAGUCCCAGCCACAUAUAGCAGCUUAUGUUUAAAUGAAUUAAAAUUAAAUACAAUUUAAAAAAUCCAUCUCUCAGUGGCACUGGCCACAUUUUAAAAGCUCAGGAGCCAUAGGUGGCUGGUGGUUGCUGGACUGACAGCAGAGUCACAGAACAUGCCCACUGUUGCAGAAAGAGCUACCAGAGAGCGAUGAUACAGACCUAUUAACAGCUCUGGAGUCUGCACGCUAAAUCUGCCAAUCAAGAUGAUACAUACAAGACAAUACUGAUGAAAAAGGUGACCGGACAGAAUGAAAAUCUCAGGUUGAGAUUCAAAAAAUAUGAUGCCGAUUUAGAACAGGCUUUCCCUGAACCUGAUUUCAAACACAGAUGUCAUUUCAAUUUCUCAAGUAGUUCAAGAAAUAAUCUGGCCCAAUUAAAUUCUGUUUGGAAUUAAAAUUUAAGGAAACCACAAUCAACUGGAUUAAAAAAGCAUCUAUCAAAUGUAUCUACUUGAGGGAGACCCAAGGAAAAGAGGAGAAAUGAAAUCAGCUCAGACUGAAUGCCAGAUUGAGUCUUCAAAUCUGAACCUGGCAUCUGUAACUUAGGUAACCGGAUCCUACUCUGGAAUUCAAAUUUGUUUAAACAAGCAAUUGAAAGGAAAGCAUCCCUUCAGCUGGGCUGGCAUGUUACCUGGCAGUUUUGACCAGCCAAUUACUUUGUUUAUGAUCUCAAUACAUUUUGCAGGAGCUACUCAGUAAUUCUAGAUUAAUAAAAACUCUUUCAACUUGCUGACUCACCUCCAAAUCAGUU